CCAGGGUGGACUGAGGCUGGAGCGUGCGACCUCAGCCGCGGGUGGGCGUCAGGGGCGACCCCGGAGCGAGGGGAGGCAAGAAGAGAUUGAAGGGAAAUCUCAAGGGGCUCCAGAGACUACUACGAUGGUGCAAAGUCACAGAAGCCCUGGGAAAAGCAGGUAGAAUGGAGUUGCCAUGACAUUGAGCCUCACCUAGAUGCCAGUUCCAGAUAUUGGCAGACUGCUGGCCUCCUGAGGAGCACAGGAAGGGGCCUGGCAGACUGGUGAUCCUGGUUGGAGAUGAAGAGGGGCUGAUUAAGAGGAGCUGACUGAGGCUGGGAGGUUUCCUGCCCGGGAGUGGCGAGCCUGUCAGAGCUGCACCUGGGCCUACCUGUACCUAGGAGAGAUUCAGGGUAUGGUUGGCUUCCCACAAACA
rnacentral:lncRNA from 1 species